rnacentral:tRNA from 1 species
UCCGUGAUAGCUCAGCUGGCAGAGAAUCUGCCUGCAGUGCAGAAGACCCCGGUUCGAUCCCUGGGUCGGGAA